rnacentral:rRNA from 1 species
UCUUUUCAUUGUGUGCCAGCCGCCGCGGUAAUACGGAGGAUGCGAGCGUUAUCCGGAUUUAUUGGGUUUAAAGGGAGCGCAGACGGGAGAUUAAGUCAGUUGUGAAAGUUUGCGGCUCAACCGUAAAAUUGCAGUUGAUACUGGUUUCCUUGAGUGCAGUUGAGGCAGGCGGAAUUCGUGGUGUAGCGGUGAAAUGCUUAGAUAUCACGAAGAACCCCGAUUGCGAAGGCAGCUUGCUAAACUGUAACUGACGUUCAUGCUCGAAAGUGUGGGUAUCAAACAGG